GACGAACGCUGGCGGCGUGCCUAACACAUGCAAGUCGAACGAAGUUUUUAUGGAAUGCGACUUCGGUCAAAUGAAGUUUAAACUUAGUGGCGGACGGGUGAGUAACGCGUGAGCAACCUGCCUUUCAGAGGGGGAUAACGUUUGGAAACGAACGCUAAUACCGCAUGAUAUAACGUAAUCGCAUGAUUGUGUUAUCAAAGGAGCAAUCCGCUGAAAGAUGGGCUCGCGUCCGAUUAGGUAGUUGGUGGGGUAACGGCCUACCAAGCCGACGAUCGGUAGCCGGACUGAGAGGUUGAACGGCCACAUUGGGACUGAGAUACGGCCCAGACUCCUACGGGAGGCAGCAGUGGGGAAUAUUGGGGCAAUGGGGGAAACCCUGACCCAGCAACGCCGCGUGAAGGAAGAAGGCCUUCGGUUGUAAACGUUCUUUUACCUAGGGACGAAGAACGUGACGGUACCUGGA
rnacentral:rRNA from 1 species